CCUUCCAGUCAUGAACAACCAACUAGCCCAACUUAACAUUCUGUUGCAUCUUGUCCGCCCUCAAGUGUGGCUGUACUGUAUGAGACCCUCAUCAGAAAGAUGCCACUACCAUUUCUACGCUUCUGCAUCUAGUGAACUUCAUCGUCCUAGGAAUUGUGACAUCACAGUCUCGGAAGGCCUGCCGAAACGGAGCAACUGGAAGUCCCUCGGGAGGCAAGGUUUGCAUUUGCAAACGUGAAAAGCAUCCAUAGAGGAGCCGGAACCCGCCUCAAACCUGGGCACGCCAGCAGGGCCCAGCUGGAGGGCUCACCCGGCUCGCAACGCAGGUCCGUC